rnacentral:lncRNA from 1 species
CAGUUUAUCAGAGACUACCAAUGACCAGUGGCUUAUAGAAUGUUCAAGGAGACCUGACAGCAGGCUUACAGGACUCAUCCAAACCCUGGCAUUUGGACAGUGAGCAUCCACAUUUCGGACAUUUGGAUGUCACGGUUACAGAAGAGCCAACACUAUCUCCUUUCUGAACAAUAUGAUCAUUUCUGAUUUCCAAGAGUAAAGCGACCUCAAAUUCAAACUGCCUGUGAUGAAGGAGAGGCGUGGAGGCACCGUCCGUGAGAGGCAGACAACAGAAAGUCACAGACCACAGUAUGUGUUAAAAUAGGAAAUAUCAUCUGGACGGCACGGAUUAACUAUAUCCCAGAGACAAGGAAGGAGCCAGAUUCGAAAUCCAAGCUGUCUAGGAAGUAAUCUUCAGAAGCAGCUGUUAAAACAGAACA